AGUCAACCUAACCUAUGGACGGGAAUAACCUCGGGAAACUGAGAAUAAUGCCCGAUAGAACACUAUACCUGGAAUGGUUUGUGUUCCAAAUGAUUUAUCGCCGUAGGAUGGGACUGCGGCCUAUCAGUUUGUUGGUGAGGUAAUGGCCCACCAAGACUAUUACAGGUACGGGCUCUGAGAGGAGUAGCCCGGAGAUGGGUACUGAGACACGGACCCAGGCCCUAUGGGGCGCAGCAGGCGAGAAAACUUUGCAAUGUGCGAAAGCACGACAAGGUUAAUCCGAGUGGUUUGUGCUAAACGAACCUUUUGUCGGUCCUAGAAACACCGAUGAAUAAGGGGUGGGCAAGUUCUGGUGUCAGCCGCCGCGGUAAAACCAGCACCUCAAGUGGUCAGGAUGAUUAUUGGGCCUAAAGCAUCCGUAGCCGGCUCUGUAAGUUUUCGGUUAAAUCUGUACGCUCAACGUACAGGCUGCCGGGAAUACUGCAGAGCUAGGGAGUGGGAGAGGUAGACGGUACUCGGUAGGAAGGGGUAAAAUCCUUUGAUCUAUUGAUGACCACCUGUGGCGAAGGCGGUCUACCAGAACACGUCCGACGGUGAGGGAUGAAAGCUGGGGGAGCAAACCGGAUUAGAUACCCGGGUAGUCCCAGCUGUAAACUAUGCAAACUCAGUGAUGCAUUGGCUUGUGGCCAAUGCAGUGCU
rnacentral:rRNA from 1 species